rnacentral:rRNA from 1 species
GUAGGUGGCAAGCGUUGUCCGGAAUUAGUUGGGCGUAAAGCGCGCGCAGGCGGUUCUUUAAGUCUGAUGUGAAAGCCCACGGCUCAACCGUGGAGGGUCAUUGGAAACUGGAGAACUUGAGUACAGAAGAGGAAAGCGGAAUUCCACGUGUAGCGGUGAAAUGCGUAGAGAUGUGGAGGAACACCAGUGGCGAAGGCGGCUUUCUGGUCUGUAACUGACGCUGAGGCGCGAAAGCGUGGGGGAGCAAACAGGAUUAGAUACCCUGGUAGUCCACGCCGUAAACGAUGAGUGCUAAGCGUUAGGGGGUUUCCGCCCCUUAGUGCUGCAGCUAACGCAUUAAGCACUCCGCCCUGGGAGUGCGGCCGCAAGGCUG